rnacentral:rRNA from 1 species
CACAAGCGGUGGAGCAUGUGGUUAAUUCGACGCAACGCGAAGAACCUUACCGAGGGCUUGACAUCCCCUGACCGCGUAUGAAAGUACGUUUUCACCUCGGGUGACAGGGAGACAGGUGGUGCAUGGUUGUCGUCAGCUCGUGUCGUGAGAUGUUGGGUUAAGUCCCGCAACGAGCGCAACCCCUACGUUUAGUUGCUAACGCGUGAAGGCGAGCACUCUAGACGAACUGCCGUUGACAAAACGGAGGAAGGUGGGAUGACGUCAAAUCAUCAUGCCCCUUAUGUUCUGGGCUACACACGUGCUACAAUGGCCGGUACAGACGGACGCAAAGCCGCGAGGUGGAGCAAAUCCUAAAAAGCCGGUCUCAGUUCGGAUUGCAGGCUGCAAUUCGCCUGCAUGAAGUCGGAAUCGCUAGUAAUCGCAGGUCAGCAUACUGCGGUGAAUACGUUCCCGGGCCUU